rnacentral:rRNA from 1 species
AUUGAACGCUGGCGGCAGGCCUAAUACAUGCAAGUCGAGCGGCAGCGGGAAAGUAGCUUGCUACUUUUGCCGGCGAGCGGCGGACGGGUGAGUAAUGCCUGGGAAAUUGCCCAGUCGAGGGGGAUAACAGUUGGAAACGACUGCUAAUACCGCAUACGCCCUACGGGGGAAAGCAGGGGACCUUCGGGCCUUGCGCGAUUGGAUAUGCCCAGGUGGGAUUAGCUAGUUGGUGAGGUAAUGGCUCACCAAGGCGACGAUCCCUAGCUGGUCUGAGAGGAUGAUCAGCCACACUGGAACUGAGACACGGUCCAGACUCCUACGGGAGGCAGCAGUGGGGAAUAUUGCACAAUGGGGGAAACCCUGAUGCAGCCAUGCCGCGUGCGUGAAGAAGGCCUUCGGGUUGUAAAGCACUUUCAGCGAGGAGGAAAGGUUGUUGGCUAAUAUCCAACAGCUGUGACGUUACUCGCAGAAGAAGCACCGGCUAACUCCGUGCCAGCAGCCGCGGUAAAAC